AUUCAAUACGCUAUAAAGCUGAAAGACACGGCUGAAGGAGGUGUUACCCGAUCAAAUCCUUAGACCGAGCAUGAGAAGCAACUAACAAUAAAUUACCUGAAGUUGUGUGUCAGCAGCACCACACACUUUCUUGGAUUCGCAAAGUCGUGCCACCAUGCUCUCAGGCAAAGGCUUGGAGGAUAUAUCACAGAGCUACUGCUGAACUACUGUGCUAUAGCUGUUUUUAGUGAAAUGGCUACCACAAGGAGUCUGGAGCAAACAUGAAUGAUUUAUAAAUAAGAUCAACUCAAAAUGCACAGAACUAUGAAACACAGACCCCCUGCUUG